rnacentral:lncRNA from 1 species
GAUUGGUGGCAGAUGUUAGCUCAGGGCUAAUCUUCCUCAAAAAAAAAAAAAAGAUAUUUGCUUGGAAAUGUUGAGAGAAUCUUGUCAAACAGGGUGGCUCAACGGCCAUUUUCCAGUGACACAAAACUUAACGUCAUGCAGGAUCAACUAUAAAACAAAUAAAGCUGAUAAGAAGAAAGGGAAAAAGAAAAGUUGGAAGCUUGGACAAACAAUUUCUACAGAGUGUUGAUGUCCUGUAAUUUAACAGCAACUAAUAAUAAAGAAUUCACGUAUAUUGUAUUUUACGAAACUACAGGUCUGUGAUGACUUGGAAAGUGGAAAACAAACUGGUCCUUCUCCACAGACGAUCUGAGAAGCACUCAGAGAUUAUUUUUCUGCCUCUAGUUUGGAGCAUUUCUGAGCUGUCCCAAAAUCAACAUUCCACUUUUCCUGAAUCACUACUAGCCAAACCUACCCUGAUCUCUUGUCUGUCUUAGGCACAGCACC